GAAACCAGUCUGAGGAAAAUAAAGCUUCAUCCGCUCCAAGUGUGGCUCCUGCUGGUACAGGAAUUGCAUUGGAAAACUGAUCCUUGCCCUCCUCCAAACUGAGAGGCUCCUGUCUUGGCCUGGUAGAGAAGACUUGCUCUGUCAGUCAAGUCGGUGACUGCUGUGGGAGGAGCUCCGCCGGAGGAGGCUGUGUGGCUGGGAUGCUGAGACACCGAGGAUGGAGCUGCAAGGAGCGUGCACACUAGCAAGGAGACGGGCGAGCAGAGGCGGCUGAAAGCAACUCCAUCCGUGCCGACAGCGAGAGGCCGGAUUUGCAGCGGCAGCCCCCAAGUUCCUCGCCCCUUCUCCCCGCCAACUCCGAGGAAUGAAAGCUUUCCACGCAGACCUGCUCCUGCUCUGCUUCUUCCUGCUCAGCCAAGAUACGGAAACUGUGCAUAGAAGUCACCACGCGCC